GAGUGUAGGGCGGCAGGGUAGCCUAGUGGUUAGAGUGUAGGGGCGGCAGGGUAGCCUAGUGGUUAGAGUGUAGGGGCGGCAGGGUAGCCUAGUGGUUAGAGUGUAGAGGCGGCAGGGUAGCCUAGUGGUUAGAGUGUAGAGGCGGCAGGGUAGCCUAGUGGUUAGAGUGUAGGGGGCGGCAGGAAGCCUAGUGGUUAGAGUGUAGAGGCGGCAGCGUAGCCUAGUGGUUAGAGUGUAGAGGCGGCAGGGUAGCCUAGUGGUUAGAGUGUAGAGGCGGCAGGAAGCCUAGUGGUUAGAGUGUAGAGGCGGCAGGAAGCCUAGUGGUUAGAGUGUAGGGGCGGCAGGAAGCCUAGUGGUUAGAGUGUAGGGGCGGCAGGGUAGCCUAGUGGUUAGAGUGUAGGGGCGGCAGGAAGCCUAGUGGUUAGAGUGUAGGGGCGGCAGGAAGCCUAGUGGUUAGAGUGUAGGGGCGGCAGGAAGCCUAGUGGUUAGAGUGUAGGGGCGGCAGGAAGCCUAGUGGUUAGAGUGUAGGGGCGGCAGGAAGCCUAGUGGUUAGAGUGUAGAGGCGGCAGGAAGCCUAGUGGUUAGAGUGUAGGGGCGGCAGGAAGCCUAGUGGUUAGAGUGUAGGGCGGCAGGAAGCCUAGUGGUUAGAGUGUAGGGGCGGCAGGGUAGCCUAGUGGUUAGAGUGUAGGGGCGGCAGGAAGCCUAGUGGUUAGAGUGUAGGGGCGGCAGGUAGCCUAGUGGUUAGAGUGUAGAGGCGGCAGCGUAGCCUAGUGGUUAGAGUGUAGGGGCGGCAGGGUAGCCUAGUGGUUAGAGUGUAGGGGCGGCAGGAAGCCUAGUGGUUAGAGUGUAGGGGCGGCAGGAAGCCUAGUGGUUAGAGUGUAGAGGCGGCAGGAAGCCUAGUGGUUAGAGUGUAGGGGCGGCAGGAAGCCUAGUGGUUAGAGUGUAGGGGCGGCAGGGUAGCCUAGUGGUUAGAGUGUAGGGGCGGCAGGAAGCCUAGUGGUUAGAGUGUAGGGGCGGCAGGAAGCCUAGUGGUUAGAGUGUAGAGGCGGCAGGAAGCCUAGUGGUUAGAGUGUAGGGGCGGCAGGAAGCCUAGUGGUUAGAGUGUAGAGGCGGCAGGAAGCCUAGUGGUUAGAGUGUAGGGGCGGCAGGAAGCCUAGUGGUUAGAGUGUAGGGGCGGCAGGGUAGCCUAGUGGUUAGAGUGUAGGGGCGGCAGGAAGCCUAGUGGUUAGAGUGUAGGGGCGGCAGGAAGCCUAGUGGUUAGAGUGUAGGGGCGGCAGGAAGCCUAGUGGUUAGAGUGUAGGGGCGGCAGGAAGCCUAGUGGUUAGAGUGUAGAGGCGGCAGCGUAGCCUAGUGGUUAGAGUGUAGGGGCGGCAGGGUAGCCUAGUGGUUAGAGUGUAGGGGCGGCAGGAAGCCUAGUGGUUAGAGUGUAGGGGCGGCAGGAAGCCUAGUGGUUAGAGUGUAGGGGCGGCAGGGUAGCCUAGUGGUUAGAGUGUAGGGGUGGCAGGAAGCCUAGUGGUUAGAGUG